GACUUUUUGUUACUUCUUUUUCUGUCACUCAGUAGUAGUGAAGCAGAACAUUGCAGAAGUGAAAUAUUAAGCCAGAGAUCAUGUUAAAAACUGGAGGUUUUUUUAUUUUCUUUUGCAGUUUUGUCAAAAGACUCCUUUCAAGAUGACUUUUUAAUCUUCUACCACUUGGUCUCAGGAGUUUUUUUCUGUGGAUGCUCAAAAAUGAAGGGAACACACAACCCAUGCCCUGCAAUGUGAAAUCACAAUGUUCUGUCUGCUGUCAUGGCACAGAAAUAUUCCACUGUCUGUUGAAGUACAGCUGAAGCACAAUGAGAAAGGCACCAGCAACAGGCCCUUCAACACAGAGGAUGGUGGUUGUGGCUCCCCAGCUGCUCCUCUGGGGCCAUGCUGAGAGCAGUGACAGUGUAACAACACUUACAGACUCUGCUACAAUAUUUCCAGUCAUUCCCCUUCAUCUGUCUCAGUUCAAGUUAACUGGAGGAAAAAACCUUUUCAUCUUUGCAAUCUGGUAAGGGCUCAGGCUCAGCCAGAAGGUGCAGGUUUUACAGCCUCUCAGAAGCUGAUGGCCCCACUUGCCAGGCUCUGCACCAUGCAGGUUCUCAGGUGUGGUGUACCUGUGAUUUAAGGACUGUAAUCCAUCAUUUUCAACUGUUCUACUGGCAUAC